AAUGACUCCAAAAUAAGGAGUGAAGCAGAUUCUUUAGCAACACAUGGAAUUGGAAAUUUUGAAUUUUUAUUAAGUAUGAUUAUUUGGUAUGAUAUAUUGUUUGCUGUUAACUUAAUUAGCAAAUAUUUACAAUCUAAAGACAUGCUUAUUGAUAUUGCUAUAGAUCAAGUAAAAGGAUUGAUUAGAUUUUUUGAGGAGUAUAGAGAAGUUGGGUUCACACAAGCUAUGACAAUUGCUAAAGAAAUUGCUACUGAAAUGGAAAUUGAUUCUGUAUUUCAAGUAAAACGUCAAAUCCGUAGAAAAAGACAAUUUGAUGAGAAUGUUAAUGAGGAGACAACACAAUCAGCUGAAGAAUCUUUUAGAAUCAAUUAUUUUUUGUGUAUUAUAGAUCAAGCUAUUGGUUCACUAAAGAAAAGGUUUGAGCAAUAUAAAGUAUAUGAAGAUAUUUUUGGAUUUUUGUUUGGUUCAGAAAAGUUAAACUCAUUAGAUGAUAAUAAUUUGAAAGCAUGUUGUGAUAAUCUUGAAAUUGUUCUAAAAUAUAAAACAUUUUCUGAUCUUGAUGGGAAAGAUUUAUAUGGAGAACUAAAAAUCUUACGAUAUAUUUUACCAAAAGAAACAAAGAUGGCUAUUGAUAUACUGAAUUUCUUAAAAAUACGAAAUUGUUUUCCAAAUGCAUGUAUUGCUUAUAGAAUAUUAUUGACUAUACCUGUUACAGUCGCAUCUGCAGAAAGAAGUUUUUCAAAAUUAAAAUUAUUAAAAUCUUAUUUGAGAUCGACCAUGUCACAAGAAAGACUGAAUGGACUAGCUUUGAUAUCUAUUGAAAAUGAUUUUAUAGAUAAAAUUGAUGUUAAGGGCUUAAUUAGUGAUUUUGCAGCUAAAAAUGCAAGGAGGACAAUUUUUCGAUGAUACUUUUUUAUGCUAAAGGCUUCGAUAUCUCUUAUGAAGAACUGCUAUAAGAUUACGAAGGAACCCUAAGGACACUGAAGACUUAACUGCUGUAAAUGAGCUUGCUAGAGAUAUUGACAAUACUGUCCAUUCUGGUCUCUGGGACAUAGUAAAAAAUUGCACAUAUAUUGGACUUGCGGAUGAAACUUUUGCGUUGCUUCAGUACAAUACCCAUCUUUAUCUUAUGAAUGUGGUGAAAGUCAGGACUGCAUCUCAGUUUGGUCAUCUGCUAGAGGCUCUUAUCCUUUAUUGACAGAUGAGAGGGGAUAGAAAAUAAAUGCACAGAUGUACACAUACUUGUUUUAAUCAUUUGCUUCAAAGAUGCAUUCAAACAAGUUCCUGGUUUUGUAUUAAGCCUUUAUUUUGUAAAGGCUAGACUGUGCACCCAAAAGUGAUAUGGCAGCACUCCAGCAACUUCUUUCCCUGUUAGAAAAUUGUUAUUCGUGAGAUUGCAUUUAUAACAUGGUCAAUGUUAAUUGUGUCAAAAACAGGCUAUAAACUUAAGUUCUGCUUCAAUUGUUCUGGAAAGUAACCAGCAUGCGACUUUCUGCCUAUCUUCAAAAUUUCUCACAUCUGCUAAAUCACAGCUAGAGGAAGGUUAUUUUGACGUUGAGUUCGACAAGAGUCAUAAUCAUAACAAACCUCAUCUCAUUUUACAAAAACAAGCUGUUGCAUCAAACUUUUCAAAGGAUAAAUCCUCAUCUACGACCCCAUGUACAUGGAAGAAGUGGGCUAGAGCGAGUUUAAUAUGUCUUGUUGGCAUUCUGUUGUUAUUCUUUCUGAUUUAUAUAUCCUCAAGGUAUUUUAAUCAUUUUUUUCAUGUAAAG